rnacentral:lncRNA from 1 species
CCGUAUCGUCUAAAAUUUUUCGUGGACGUCGAAUUCAGCAAAGGAACAAUAGUCACCGCCCCGCCAUGACCAGAUUACAUUUUUUUGGAGUUUACCGCCGUAUAAUUGGGAAUCCGCGCGAGUCCUAAAUUUUCGUGUGCUAUAUCCCACGCCAUCCGCCUUGGCCCCGGCCUUUGAACCCGGAUCGUCUAAAAUUUUUC